AAAAAUACAACACUUGAAAUCUAAAAUGAAGCAAAUAUGGAAAUUCUGGAUUGACCUUGCUAAAACCAGACCAAAAAAUUAAUGUAGUAUUAAAUAAUAACAAAGAACACCUAGGUACAUAUGAAUGUAUAUACUCAAUUUUUAUGUGGAAUCACUGCCCCAGGAAAUUGAAUCGCAUAACCACGACUAUCCACCAUCAUUUCACUUGAUUCAGAUCAAAUGCAUCUUCAGGUUUUAACGAUGUCAUGGGACAGCAGUGCUGAACACCGCAUCUACGGCUGCCUGCAGCAAAAUCAGUAAAAUUUAACAUGAACCCAAUGUAUAUCACAACACAAUAGACAACUAUGAAUUUACAACACAUGUAACAAAGCCCCCUCAUCCCGUUCAAGAUUUUAAAGGAAGGUCAAAAGCACUUCAUGUUGUUCAAAGAGCCCUUUUGACUUGAAUUUAUUUGGGAUAGGCCAUUAUCAAUAUUAUUUGACAGUAAAGCAGCAGUAAUAUCUUAUGAGGCAUUUGCAUUGCAUGAUAAAAACAGCACUUGCAGAACUUUUACAAAUCUAUCUCAGGUUCAAUAAGAGGCUCAUCCCCCUGAUUAUUGACAAUAAUAUCAUACUUCUACAGAAUUUGUAAUGCUUCAUUGCAUCAUUCGAUAAAUAUAUAUAUAUGCAAUUAACUAUUUGCCAUUUCAGCAAAUUUCUGAAGUCAUUAUCACAUCGCCACCAAAUCCUUAGCAGCAUUCUGCAAUCUUCUGAUCAUCUGUUGUCGCAACUACACCACAAAGAAGCAACGAAUGACACACUGCAGACAUGAACCACAAACAACAGAAUAACCAGACAUGAAAAUCAAAAUCUGUUGACAGCAGAAACUUGGAAACAAUGACCAAGGAAUUUUCGGAUAAAAAGAUAUCAGGAUAUCCCAUCUUGUAAACUCUCAACAUAUUCAAGCCCAUAUCCAAAUGAAAUUUUGAGCAAAGCGAUUUAACAAAGUUGAGUAACUUCGCCGUUAAUAUAAGCACGUGAAGAAGAGAGAACGAAAUAUUUAUCAUCAAAAUCAAAAUCAACUUUUAUGGGGAUCACUAUAUUCGAGCCAAAGGCAUUUGAGUUCUAGACCAUAAAUGAAUAAAAAACACUCGCUUUAGGAGUAUUCUCCCACCAAGGCUGGAAGUUGAUAACCAGAUUGAAAGACAAUCUAUGAGGAUAUCAAGGUGGUUCAGACAAAAUUACAAGAAGCAAACGGUUUUGGAAUUGCCAUAACAGAGUAACACAAAGCUCUUGUAAGUGACGUACCACGUGAUCCAAUAUAGUUGCCAGUUUGGACCUCUCCGAUGUUCUGUGCAAGAUACCCACUAGAAUGGUGAGUCAAAUUAUAAAAGACACAUUACAUUCUGAGACAGCACAAUCAAAAACAAUGUAAGAAAGAAAAAAGAGGUUGGGGGAAAAAAAAAAAUUGAUAUUUACCCACCAAACCAAGGCUUGUCAAUUAUAUAAAGCAAGAGCUGUGAAGAAAUCUGAAACCAUUAUGUGAAUGGCUACUCUUACGCCAAUCUGACUUCUUAAUCCUAAUCUCAUCCAUUCACUCUUCCACACGGGUAUUCAAGGUUGGUUUGGUUUCAAUUGAUUUGCUGUUGAGUCAAAAGAUGAUCAACUUCUGAAAGUUGAAACCACAACCAAACCAGCAAACGUUAACAUUAUAACGAAACAAAACGAAAUAUUUUCAAUUUAAUAUCAUUUCGAGCUCAACAUGCGCUAAAACUACUACCCACUUUUAACAAAAUUGUUGCUCCACUUCUUCAUAAUCAGCCACAAACUAAUUGACAACACCAUAAUUUGAAGAACAAACAAAAAUGCUUGUAAUUAACAAUUUAAAAAAAUAAAAAUAAAGUAAAAAAGGCAAAUGUGUACCUAUAUCAUCGGUUUGCUGGGUUGCUUUGGGUUACUUUGGCUUCCCAAAGAAUCAAUUUCUACCUUUAAUUCUCAAAAAAUCAACUUUGCAAAUAAUUUAGUGCGGUGUUUGGUAAAUGAAGAUAUUUGACAAUUACUUAUCAAAUAAUCUAUUAUACACGUUUGGUAAGUGAAAAUGUGCAUAUGCA
rnacentral:lncRNA from 1 species